rnacentral:rRNA from 1 species
UACGUAGGGUGCGAGCGUUAAUCGGAAUUACUGGGCGUAAAGCGUGCGCAGGCGGUUUUGUAAGACAGAUGUGAAAUCCCCGGGCUUAACCUGGGAACUGCGUUUGUGACUGCAAGGCUAGAGUACGGCAGAGGGGGGUGGAAUUCCACGUGUAGCAGUGAAAUGCGUAGAGAUGUGGAGGAAUACCAGUGGCGAAGGCGGCCCCCUGGCACAACGCUGACGCUCAGGUGCGAAAGCGUGGGGAGCAAACAGG